GAUGAACGCUGGCGGCGUGCCUAAUACAUGCAAGUCGAGCGAACAGACGAGGAGCUUGCUCCUCUGACGUUAGCGGCGGACGGGUGAGUAACACGUGGAUAACCUACCUAUAAGACUGGGAUAACUUCGGGAAACCGGUGCUAAUACCGGAUAAUAUAUUGAACCGCAUGGUUCAAUAGUGAAAGACGGUUUUGCUGUCACUUAUAGAUGGAUCCGCGCCGCAUUAGCUAGUUGGUAAGGUAACGGCUUACCAAGGCAACGAUGCGUAGCCGACCUGAGAGGGUGAUCGGCCACAUUGGAACUGAGACACGGUCCAGACUCCUACGGGAGGCAGCAGUAGGGAAUCUUCCGCAAUGGGCGAAAGCUUGACGGAGCAACGCCGCGUGAGUGAUGAAGGUCUUCGGAUCGUAAAACUCUGUUAUUAGGGAAGAACAAAUGUGUAAGUAACUAUGCACGUCUUGACGGUACCUAAUCAGAAAGCCACGGCUAACUACGUG
rnacentral:rRNA from 1 species